rnacentral:miRNA from 1 species
AGAUGAAGAUGAUGAUGAUGAUGAUGAUGAUCAUGAUGAUGAAAAUAACAAGUUCUCCAACAGCGAUUCUAAUCGUUUAUGUCGUCAAUAUGAUCCGUGUCGUCGUCGUCGUCGUCG